UACGUAGGGGCCUAGCGUUGUCCGGAAUUAUUGGGCGUAAAGAGCGUGUAGGCGGCUUGGUAGGUCCGCUGUGAAAACUCGAGGCUCAACCUCGAGAUGUCGGCGGAAACCACUUGGCUAGAGUCCGGAAGAGGAGAGUGGAAUUCCUGGUGUAGCGGUGAAAUGCGCAGAUAUCAGGAAGAACACCUAUGGCGAAGGCAGCUCUCUGGGGACGGUACUGACGCUGAGACGCGAAAGCGUGGGGAGCGAACAGG
rnacentral:rRNA from 1 species